AGUGAACGCUGGCGGUAGGCCUAACACAUGCAAGUCGAACGGCAGCACAGGAGAGCCUGCUCUCUGGGUGGCGAGUGGCGGACGGGUGAGGAAUACAUCGGAAUCUACUUUUUCGUGGGGGAUAACGUAGGGAAACUUACGCUAAUACCGCAUACGACCUACGGGUGAAAGCCGGGGAUCUUCGGACCUUGCGCGAUUGAAUGAGCCGAUGUCGGAUUAGCUAGUUGGCGGGGUAAAGGCCCACCAAGGCGACGAUCCGUAGCUGGUCUGAGAGGAUGAUCAGCCACGCUGGAACGGAGACACGGUCCAGACUCCUACGGGAGGCAGCAGUGGGGAAUAUUGGACAAUGGGCGCAAGCCUGAUCCAGCCAUACCGCGUGGGUGAAGAAGGCCUUCGGGUUGUAAAGCCCUUUUGUUGGGAAAGAAAUCCAGCUGGUUAAUACCCGGUUGGGAUGACGGUACCCAAAGAAUAAGCACCGGCUAACUUCGUGCCAGCCGCCGCAGUAA
rnacentral:rRNA from 1 species